GGUCAGAUUGAACGCUGGCGGGCAUGCUAACACAUGCAAGUCGACGGCAGCACAGAGGAGCUUGCUCUUUGGGUGGCGAGUGGCGACGGGUGAGUAAUGCAUCGGGAUCUACCCUGACGUGGGGGAUAACCUCGGGAAACCGGGACUUAAUCCGCAUACGUCCUACGGGAGAAAGCGGGGGACCUUUUAGGCCUCGCGCGGCAGGACGAACCGAUGUGCGAUUAGCUAGUUGGCGGGGUAAUGGCCCACCAAGGCGACGAUCGCUAGCUGGUCUGAGAGGAUGAUCAGCCACACUGGGACUGAGACACGGCCCAGACUCCUACGGGAGGCAGCAGUGGGGAAUAUUGGACAAUGGGCGCAAGCCUGAUCCAGCAAUGCCGCGUGUGUGAAGAAGGCCUUCGGGUUGUAAAGCACUUUUAUCAGGAGCGAAAUCUGCAUGCUUAAUACGUGUGCAGUCUGACGGUACCUGAGGAAUAAGCGCCGGCUAAAUUCGUGCCAGCAGCCGCGGUAAUACGAAGGGUGCAAGCGUUAAUCGGAAUUACUGGGCGUAAAGGGUGCGUAGGCGGUUCGUUAAGUCUGUCGUGAAAUCCCCGGGCUCAACCUGGGAAUGGCGAUGGAUACUGGCGAGCUAGAGUGUGUCAGAGGAUGGUGGAAUUCCCGGUGUAGCGGUGAAAUGCGUAGAGAUCGGGAGGAACAUCAGUGGCGAAGGCGGCCAUCUGGGACAACACUGACGCUGAAGCACGAAAGCGUGGGGAGCAAACAGGAUUAGAUACCCUGGUAGUCCACGCCCUAAACGAUGCGAACUGGAUGUUGGUCUCAACUCGGAGAUCAGUGUCGAAGCUAACGCGUUAAGUUCGCCGCCUGGGAGUCGUGCCGUCGCAAGACUGAAACUCAAAGGAAUUGACGGGGGCCCGCACAAGCGGUGGAGAAAGUGGCGUAAUUCGAUGCAACGCGAAGAACCUUACCUGGCCUUGACAUGUCCGGAAUCCUGCAGAGAUGCGGGAGUGCCUUCGGGAAUCGGAACACAGGUGCUGCAUGGCUGUCGUCAGCUCGUGUCGUGAGAUGUUGGGUUAAGUCCCGCAACGAGCGCAACCCUUGUCCUUAGUUGCCAGCGAGUAAUGUCGGGAACUCUAAGGAGACUGCCGGUGACAAACCGGAGGAAGGUGGGGAUGACGUCAAGUCCUCAUGGCCCUUACGGCCAGGGCUACACACGUACUACAAUGGCGGUGACAAUGCGCAGCCACCUAGCAAUAUGGAGCUAAUCGCAAAAAGCCGUCUCAGUUCAGAUUGAGGUCUGCAACUCGACCUCAUGAAGUCGGAAUCGCUUAGUUAUCGCGCAUCAGCAUGGGGCGGGUGAAUACCGUUCCUCGGGCCUUUGUACACACCGGGCCGUCAACACCAUGGGGAAGUUGGUCUUACCCUUAAAACGGGGGCGCUAACCGGAAGGAAGGCCAGUCGGUCCACGGUUAAGGU
rnacentral:rRNA from 1 species